GGCGACAUAGCCAAGCGGUAAGGCAGAGGUCUGCAAAACCUUUAUUCCCCAGUUCGAUUCUGGGUGUCGCCU
rnacentral:tRNA from 1 species